ACAUUCGUAGGAAGAGAGAGAAGUCUUGGACCAUGUGUGUAAUUCGAGCGUGGGACUGUGCAAUUCUCGGAUUGGGAAAGGGAGGAGUGGAAAUAACCCCGGCAGUGCCAGGCUUGCUGGUGGUCAGGAACAGAUGAUUCCAGCCCUGUGCUGAUCGCCUGCCUUCCUCCUGCCAUUCAGAAUGCUGCUGUCUCGUGUACUUACUGUUAAGGAUCCUGGAAAAGGGAGUGGUUCCUCCUAGCUGCAAACAAGGGCGCUACUUUUCUUUUCUCUUUAAUAGAAUUACGUUUUAUAGGUGUGUCUAGGCAACACAAGGGAAUGUGAAAGACUUUCAGAGGGAAUGUUUGUGAAUACAUCUGGUGUGUACUAAAAAGCUGGAAAACCCCUAAGUAAAUGCAAUAUCGAUAGAAAGCGAGUUUCUUGAAGAGUCAUCUGCUAAACUCCACUAGAGUCAUCUCUACACCCAUAGGUCAAAUAAAAGAUUAAUAAUUUAGACAUAUCAGCUGUAAAUUCAUAAGAACCAUAUGGAUGUCCAAGUGGAGGUGGAGGAGGUGAUUAAGAUGGAAAAAGGCAACCAUGAAUGAAGACACACAGAUCCUCAACCUUUAAAACAGAUGCAACUGACUCACUUAAAAUAGCUGUGUGGAUAUAGAACUUUUAUCAACUACUAUUUACUAAAUUAUAUUGGUGUGUUUGUCCUCAUCUUAGAAUAGCAUAUCAAUAGAUGCUAUAAAAACAUAAGAGGGUGUGGUUAAGAGAAAAAAAAAUUGCCAUUAAGGAAUCAGCAAAUAGGAUGUCUGAAGUGAGGAUAUAGCACCUAUCUCUGAGAUUAAAGUCAUCUGAUCAAAAAUGAUGCCUCUGAGACUAUAACAAAGGAAUGAAUAAUGAAAUAUAAGAAUGGGGAUUCUGCACUAACUCUAUGGGGAAGAAAACAAUGUCUCUGUUCAUCAUGAGAAAUGCUCAGCGACUGCAGACAUAAAGAGAAAGCUUUCAAUUAAAGUUUCAAUGAUGGGAUAGGAACUGAGAAGUCUGUGGAGUUUUCUGCCUAGGAGUACCCUUGGAAAAGCCACUGCUAUGCCCAACCAGCACUGGGAAUCCCAGAUCACAUGCAAUCAUAGGAGUUGCCCUGGAGGCAGAAGCUCAGCACAUGUUCUGGUACAAGGAGAUUACAGUGUUGUGCAAAGCAAAGGGAUGAAUGAUGCCCAACUCUCUAACAUGGGCCUCGGUUUCCACAUCGAGGUUGGAAAUGAGCUAGGAAGCAGAUCCACCAUAAAUGGAGAAAGAAGAGAAACAAGUUGAGCUUUUAAUGACCCCGUAGCCUGACUCUUUGGUAUGGAAAUGGAAAGAGAUCCUCAUGGAAACAUAAAUAAAAUAUAUCACAUGUAACUUAUACCAAUAAUUAUUUUCUCCCCCAGUACCUCAAUUUUGCCCAGAUUGGACUCUAUUUUAUUUCCUUAUUUUUCCACAGUAAUUUACUUAAGUAAAACCAGGAUUUAUUUUAUUCAUCUCCAUGUCAGUUGCUAAGUCCAAGGGAUGUAUAUAGUUUAAAAAAUAUCACAAAGGAUGAUAUGGUGAAAUUGAACAACACAUUAUUACCUGAUGUACAGUCAUUGAUUUUGUAUACUAGCCUUUACCCCUGGCUACUGAUAAUUUUGGAUUUUGAAGAUUCAAAGACAGAGACUUGUAAAUACUUUAGUUUUUACACUUCUUUAUCAUACUCAUACCUGGGAUGGAAAAGUAUCAUUUAAUAUAUUAAGAACAUUGUUAUAGUACAUGUAUUUAAAUAACUCACAAGAGCAAGUAAUCUUACCUCAUGUCAUCUAUUUUUGAAAAAAUAUUUUGUGUAUUUCCACAUGCUUCUUCCAGAUGACCUUUAGCAAAACUUUGUGAAGUUUCAUUGUGGCUGUUGUCUUAGAAAGAUGGUCUUGUUAAUAAGGUCAGUGUUUUAGCCUUGCAAUAUAAGAUUAUGUGCAUUUGUUUAGAGGGAGACUUUAGGAUACAGCGAAGUGUUUUACAAAUGUUUACCAUUUUUAUUCUUAUUAGAUUUUUGAAAGUAUUUGGUUUAAAAUUUUCUUCUUUUUAUUCAACCAGCUCUUUAAAUUACCCAUCAAUUCUUGUUAAGAGUGUGUAUUGUAUAUCUCUCUAUACAUUUCAUGUAUUUUUGUAUGAAUUGUGCUAUUUUUAUAAUUUUUCUAUUUAGCCUCUGUAUCCAAUAUGAUUCAAUGUAUACAUGGAUGCCAUACGUAGGUACU
ensembl:lncRNA MIR4500HG MIR4500 host gene